rnacentral:rRNA from 1 species
GUGGGGAAUAUUGGGCAAUGGGCGCAAGCCUGACCCAGCAACGCCGCGUGAAGGAAGAAGGCUUUCGGGUUGUAAACUUCUUUUACCAGGGACGAAAAAAAUGACGGUACCUGGAGAAUAAGCCACGGCUAACUACGUGCCAGCAGCCGCGGUAAUACGUAGGUGGCAAGCGUUGUCCGGAUUUACUGGGUGUAAAGGGCGCGUAGGCGGGAGAGCAAGUCAGGAGUGAAAUCUAUGGGCUUAACCCAUAAAUUGCUUUUGAAACUGUUUUUAUUGAGUGAUGGAGAGGCAAGCGGAAUUCCUAGUGUAGCGGUGAAAUGCGUAGAUAUUAGGAGGAACACCAGUGGCGAAGGCGGCUUGCUGGACAUUAACUGACGCUGAUGCGCGAAAGCGUGGGGAGCAAACAGGAUUAGAAACCCCUGUAGUCC